UCUAUCGAGAGACAAUCUACGUAAGACCAGAAUCUGCAGGUAUGGACGGAGCAACACCCCUCCCAUACCCAAAGCCUAAUUAGAUUAAAUCGACAACAUCAACAACGCGAAGGCAAAGCCAGACUAGAUGCGUACCUGAAUGAGUGUGCCACAUUUUAUGGCUACAGCCUGCAGUGACCUUUUUAAUUUCCCAAUGUUGUCUACGUAAGUGAAUGGAAGCACCUCACCUGUCAUUUGACAGCCCAUAACUCCAUGCAGAAGUGUUUCUAUACAUGUCUGUUAAGAUUAUGCCUCUUUCAUUUGAAACCAGCUGGAUUUUUGUCAUAAGUGGUGGCAAUGCAGUCUGUUGGUCGCGCCAUUCCAAAUCAAAAAUGUUAUUCCCUAAUCGGUCCAUUGAGAUGCAUUAGGAGGCAUUCCAGAGAAAACAUAUUAAUCCCUUAUUUAUGCAUUAACUUCAGGCCUCAAACAAACCUGAAGAGGUCUGAAAUUUGGCAUGCAAGAACCAAACACAUAUGGAAACAAGUGUGCCACAGCUCAUGGGUAUACACCUCACGGUAUAACUUGAAUGACAAUUUAAAAUAAUCAGUCACCAAUGCAGUCUGAAAGCUACGCCGUUCCAAAUCACAAAUGUUAUUCCCCAGUCAGCUAAUUCAGAUGCAUUGGAAGCCAUUCCAAAGAAAAGAUAUAAUUCACUAAUGUAAAGUUAAUGGUACAGGCCCACCUAUCAUUUUUCAGGUGGGGUAUAGCUAGAUGGCUGAAAGUAGUUGGAGAAACACUAGACAAAUGUCAGAACAGGAGUCCAGUCCUUGUAGAUACCUAUCGAUGGUGUGUUGAAAUGCCUAAAAUCACCAAUGUAGUCAGUGGGGCCCUGCCAUUUCAGAUUGCAAAUAUUAUCUGUUGGUCCAUUGAGAUGCAUUAGAAGCAUUGUAAUAAAAGUCCACUACUGAUCAACAAUGCAAUGCAUUUUCUGAAACAGUACCAUAACUUUUUAUUAGUAAUAUUCCUCUAAAUUAAGUGACAUGCGAUGUGUUUCUUGAGUUACUUUAAAUGUUUCAAAAAGGAAAUAUUCAAAUUCAAACAGGCAAUGAAAAGGUUCAAUUAGUUCCUCUAAAAUAAAAAAAAAGUUGGAAUUGUAAGCGAGUUAUAAUUGAUAGUAAUGUUAUUCAAAUCUCUUGUCAAUUAAAACUCAUUACUGCUUAAGAUUUCAAACGUGUAAUUCCUCUUUUCAAAUACCCACAACUAGUCAAAUAAAAUCGGUAAAAUAUCCCGUGAUUCCAAAGAUUUCUUAUGCUAAAAGGCAGCAAACACAGGAAUUCAUAAUUAGGAUCCAAUAUAUAAAUUGCGUUCCGUGGCUCAGGUCUUAGUAUUACCUGGGCGAUAAAGACGGGACUGUUUUACUAGUAACGAUCAAUUAAAAGUUCUGUAGCUUUCCACGAACUGUAUCCUAAUUUCUGACCAUUCCAAAAUAAAAAUAUAAAUCGCUACGUAUUCCAUUUGUUGAAUCUAAUUUACUAAACAAAUUGCAAUACAUCUGCUAGCCAAGUAAUGUAAGUUUCUUUUAUAUAUAUUCCAAGGUGUAUUUUAUGGUGUCUUAUGGAUUGCGAGGUGUCAGUCAUCUUCUGAUGACCUUGAUUCUGUGGCCAGUGAAUCAGAUAGAGAACCUGAAGUUGAAGAGGAGCCAUCCCUGUCUUAAAACUACAGAGUACAGCAGUUCCUCCAGUGAAGAUUCGCCAACAUUGGCACCACUACCGUUGAACAUCCAACACCUGAAAACCUAUACCGGUUCUAUGGUCUCCUUGCCGGGUUUAUUAUUUGUAUGACUGGGCACCGGAGAGGAGUCAUCAGGAACAUGACAUUGGAGGAGGUGUGCAGUGCUGAGAUCAACAGUUUAGAGCGAUGGAUAAUCAGAGUCAGCAGAUCCCUGAUGACCCAGAAGACAGCCAACAUCUGACGAAUGAUGUGUUAUUCCGGUGGAAAAGCAGAAAAGUUUUGUGUGGCAGAUUUGAAUUUUAAUGAAGCCUUUCAUAGUCGGAAUGAUACUGAAGAAGCCAUGUCAAAGAACACUAAGCAGUCUUUCACAUUGUGUUUGUCAGAAGAUGAUGUGGAUGACACAGGAAGUGAGAGAACAACUGAAGUAAAUGUAGUGGACCAGAAGAGGGGGAGACCCCACAGUGAGAGUGACUCAGACCAUGAAGAGAUGUUGGUGCGAAAGAGAAAGUGGCGUAGAGUGAGGCGUUACCUGACUGACAGUGACAGUGAUUUGAAAGGUGACGAGAAUGGCAGAGGGAAAUGCCCAGCACCAGAAACACCAGCUACACCUGAACCAAAUGUCAUCGAUCUGAGAAGCAGCAUAGUUGAGUGUGACAUGGACUUUGAUAGAGUCGUGAUAAUAGAUGUAACCAAAGGUGACCACACGACACAGACUGACGGGACUGCAGACAAAGAUGGGAACGCGACAGCAGAAGACAUGACUGAAGGCGACCAUGUGACGCAGACUGAUGGGACUACAGACAAAGACGGGGACGCAAAGGCAGAAGACGUGACCGAUGGCGACCACACGACGCAGACUGACGGGACUGCAGACAAAAACAGGUACGUUAAGACAGAAGAUGCGACUGAAGGAGACCACACAAUGUAGACUGACGGAACUGUGGACAAAGACCGGGACGUAAAGACAGAAGACGCGACCGGAACUGCAUAUUGCAGUCCAUUAAACCGCCCACAUCGAGGAGCAGGAAGAAAAUCAAUGGCUGCCAGAAGGCUUUUUAAUCCCAAAGAUCUCAGAAAAAGAGAUGCUGAUUUAAAAAGACGUGAGACAUUAAAGAUGCUGAAACAGAAAAGUGAAAAACGUAAGGGAAAGUAAGUUGGAUAAAGCGAUUUGGUUAAUUCAAAAUUUAGCAAAGCUGUCUUUAAGUUCUUAAAUUAAUUUGGUGAUUUUUUUUGUAGACCUUUACAACAGAAGAGAGCCACACCUUGUAAAGUUGCAGUGUGUGUGGUGGGGUUAAGGGUGAACCUGACCAUUAAAUACAGGUUGUUGUCAUAUGUGUUUCAUUGUAUCAUGUUCUUAAACACUGAUUGAUACAUCUUCUGCUUCUUGCUGUUAUGAUACCCUGAAAAGAUCAGCAUACAUGAUCAAGCAAGCAUGAUCGUCAUUGCUCUGUCAUCCCUUGAUCCAUGACAUGUUCAUUCUUCAAUCAUUUCUUGAGAAUUAGGCUAAAAUGGCACUAGACAGUCUGCUCUUUAAUCACAUCAAUACAUGUCUGUUAAGACUAUGCCUCGUUCAUUUAAAACCAGCAGGUUUUACAUCAUGAGUGGCUGCAAUGCAGUAUGUAGGCCACGCCAGUUCAAAUGAAAAAUAUUAUUCCCUAAUCAAUCGAUUCAGAUGCACUGGGAGGCAUUCCAGAGAAAAAAUAUGAUUCCCUAAUUUAAGGGCAAGGUUACUUCAGGGGGUCUCACAGCUGAACCGUACAAGGUAGAGGUUUGAAAUUUGGCAUGCAUUAACUAAAUAUGUGUCUGAACAAGUCUGCAAAGUCUCAUGGAGGCACGCCUUUCACAACAUCUUUACCAGAAACAUCACAACAUCACA